GUCGAGAAUCUUUCACAAUGGGGGCAACCCUGAUGGAGCGACGCCGCGUGGAGGAUAAGGUCUUCGGAUUGUAAACUCCUGUCAUGCGCGAACAAGGUUGUAGAGUUAAUAACUUUGCAAAUUGAUGGUACCGCAAGAGGAAGAGACGGCUAACUCUGUGCCAGCAGCCGCGGUAAUACAGAGGUCUCAAGCGUUGUUCGGAAUCACUGGGCGUAAAGGGUGCGUAGGUGGCGUGGUAAGUCAGAUGUGAAAGCCCGGGGCUCAACCCCGGAAUUGCAUCCGAUACUACCGUGCUAGAGUACUGAAGAGGAAACUAGAAUUCUCGGUGUAGCAGUGAAAUGCGUAGAUAUCGAGAGGAAUACCAAAGGCGAAGGCAGGUUUCUUGGCAGUUACUGACACUGAGGCACGAAGGCCAGGGGAGCAAACGGGAUUAGAAACCCUUGUAGUCC
rnacentral:rRNA from 1 species